GGGCUGCCUCUUCCAGCACAUAUACUAAAAUUGGAAUCAUACUGAGAAGAUUAGCAUGGCUCCUGAACAAGGAAGCUCAUCUUGCAUCCCAGAAGAGGCAGUUCUUA